rnacentral:rRNA from 1 species
UUUAAUUCGAAGCAACGCGCAGAACCUUACCAGCUUUUGACAUGGGACGUAUAAGGCUUAGAGAUAGGCUUUUUCAGUUUGGCUGGCGUCCACACAGGUGCUGCAUGGCUGUCGUCAGCUCGUGUCGUGAGAUGUUGGGUUAAGUCCCGCAACGAGCGCAACCCUCAUUGCUAGUUGCCAUCAGGUUGGGCUGGGCACUUUAGCAAAACUGCCGGUGACAAGCCGGAGGAAGGUGGGGAUGACGUCAAGUCCUCAUGGCCCUUAUAGGCUGGGCUACACACGUACUACAAUGGCGGUGACAAAGGGCAGCGAAGGCGCAAGCCUAAGCGAAUCCAUAAAAGCCGCCUCAGUUCGGAUUGUUCUCUGCAACUCGAGAACAUGAAGUCGGAAUCGCUAGUAAUCGUAGAUCAGCAUGCUA